UACGGAGGGUGCAAGCGUUGCUCGGAAUUACUGGGCGUAAAGGGCGUGUAGGCGGUUUCGUAUGUCUGGCGUGAAAGCCCCGGGCUCACCUCGGGAAGUGCGUCGGAAACUGCGAGACUAGAGUCCCGGAGAGGGAGGUGGAAUUCCAGGUGUAGCGGUGAAAUGCGUAGAGAUGUGGAGGAACACCGAUGGCGAAGGCAGCCUCCUGGGCCAGCACUGACGCUCAUGCACGAAAGCGUGGGGAGCAAACAGG
rnacentral:rRNA from 1 species